UACGUAGGGUGCAAGCGUUUGUCCGGAAUUAUUGGGCGUAAAGAGCUCGUAGGCGGUUUGUUGCGUCGGCUGUGAAAUCCCGAGGCUCAACCUCGGGUCUGCAGUCGAUACGAGCAAACUAGAGUACUGCAGGGGAGACUGGAAUUCCUGGUGUAGCGGUGAAAUGCGCAGAUAUCAGGAGGAACACCGGUGGCGAAGGCGGGUCUCUGGGCAGUAACUGACGCUGAGGAGCGAAAGCGUGGGGAGCGAACAGG
rnacentral:rRNA from 1 species